rnacentral:tRNA from 1 species
ACCUGGGUGGCUCAGUCGGUUGAGCUUCUGACUGCAGCUCAGGUCAUGAUCUUGUGGUUCAUGGGUUUGAGGCCCAUUUUGGGCU